AACAGAGCAAACGUAUGUUUUCUCUUAUGUAGGGGUAGACAUAUUCGGCCCAUGGCAAGUUGUUUCUCGUAAAACUCGCAGUUCACAGGCUUGUUCUAAGCGCUGGGCAGUUCUGUUUACGUGCCUCACAAUUCGAGCAGUACACAUUGAAGAAGUCGAUGAAAUGUCUUCAUCAGCAUUUAUAAACGCCCUUAGACGUUUUAUUGCAAUUCGUGGUCCUGUAAAAGUGUUCAGGUCUGAUUGCGGUACAAAUUUUGUGGGUUCUACCGCUCAUAUUGGCGUCGAUGCUAUCAAUGUUGAAGAUGAACAAAUGAAAGGUUAUCUCCUUAGGUCUGGCACUGUGUGGAUUUUCAACGCCCCCCACAGCUCACACAUGGGAGGGGCCUGGGAAAGGAUGAUUGGGGUCUGUAGACGUAUACUAGAAUCUGUGCUUUCUAAUGUGCAUAACCUUACCCAUGAUGUCUUAGUUACUCUUAUGGCUGAGGUUAGUGCGAUCGUGAAUGCACGUCCCAUUGUACCUGUGUCCUCAGACCCAGAAUGCCCUCAAGUUUUGAGUCCAUCAGCUCUACUGAACUUGAAACUAGAUCCUGAUAAACAGCCUGUUGAUCACCAAUCCAUUAAAAACCUAUACAAAGAUCAAUGGAAACGUGUCCAGUACCUUGCAGGGGAAUUUUGGUUACGUUGGAGAAAAGAGUUUCUCCAGUCCCUUCAAGCCAGAUCUAAGUGGCAUGCAGAUCGAGCCCCACUAAAGCCUAAUGAUGUAGUUCUGCUCAAAGAUUAUGAAGUACCUCGCAAUCAUUGGCCUUUAGGAAGAGUGAGCAAAUUGUUUCCAAGUACUGAUGAGAAAAUUCGCAAAGUUGAAGUUUGUGUAAUCAAAGACGAUAAACCAGUCUAUUUUGUUAGACCAGUCAUAGAAACAGUGUUGUUAGUAAGGCACGAAUGUUGAUGUGGUGAUCAGUGUUUAUAUCGAUAUAAUUGACUGAUGUGGAACUUUUAAGAAGCCAUUCACAUGGAACGUUAUUUGUGCGUUUAAAGUGGUGGAACGUUAUUUGUGCUCUAAAAGUGUUACAGUUUGAAUAGUGAGUUUAUCAUAAGUCGGCCGUUUAAUUGUAUUCCAGUGUCCAUGUUUUGAAACGUCUUGUUAAGAAAUACUUGCAAUAUGCAGUAAUUUGUUCAUAAGUACUAAAUUAGCGUAAUAUUUGUAACUUGUUUCAAAUUUUUCUACUAGUAAAUUGUUCAUGUAUAUCACAUAUUUUGUGUUAAGUCUUUUUAAAUUUAAUUGCCUUUUGUUGUUCUGUAUUUGAUUUUAUCUAAGGGCCCUAGAUAUUUUUGAGUCCAGAACUUCAUAAGACUUCGCAAAACGGAAUUUUCAACUUUUGAAUUUAAUUCGGCUGAUUGUUAUAUUUUUGUUGUUAAUACAUUUGUAUAAUAAUUUUAAUGUAAUAUCUUUAAAGAUAUUAGAUGGGGAGUGUCGUGUUCCCCAGAUACCGGGAGUACCUCUUGUCGCUAUUUAGCUCUUCGCUUCUUUUCGAUAGUUGGUUAUCUUUUCUGUCGAUUGUUUGCCUCGUGUAUUUUUUACGUCAGCCAUGUUUGAACAAAAUAUUGUUCCAUCAAUUUUAAUAUAAAUUCAGCGUUAUGGAGGUUGCAUGGUUGUUGCAGGUGAUAUGAAGGUUGAGCAGACUAUUCAGAGAGUACCAAAGGGUCCAGGAGGUCACUAUGUUGUAGGAGAGACACGCAAUGCUGGUGCAGUAGCAGAAUUUGAGCUGUUGUUCCAUGAAAUAGGGUCCAUUACCAGCCUCCUCAAUCUUCUAACCACUAACAAGCCGAUGGAUCACACAGAAUGUCAUCUUUUGCAUUCGCAUUCGCUGAGCGCCACUCGUCGUCACUCGUUCAACUACAAUGUAGAAAUGUUGUUGGAUUAUGUUCUCGAACGUCAGAACCCAUACACAGUGACGGUCAAUGUUCCCGUUCCACUACACAAUUUACUGACAAAACUGGCUUUUGACAAAGAGUUUGCUGUACGGCUUCUCAAAUGUUUUAAAUAUGGUGAACGUGUUUACCGCGCAUACAGGUUAGAGAAUAGUUGAGAAAGCCACAAACAUCAGUUCCAUCAUUUCAAAUGGAAAGCUUCCCAAGUUCACUGACCAUUUAAACAGUCAUUAUUGACAUCAAAAGCUAUUCUUAAGGAACGGAAAGCCCCGAAAUCCAAAGAUAUGGCAGAUGCACAGAGGAGCAUGGACAUUGCAAAGGAACGAGGCAUGUCCCUCAAGUAGAUAUUAUCCCAUGAUUUGAUUUCUUCAUCUCUAUUAUUUGAUGGUGACCCCCAGCCCAUGUUAUUGGGGGAAAUUGAAUCUAGACUGGACAUCAGUAAAUGGAAUCGGGAAUCUCUUCUUCCCACUCAUGUCAUCGUGGACUUCAUGUCUAAGAUGCGACAGAUGCCACUUGCACAAUUUUCCACUUUGGGUGGUGCAAUCAAUGCUGUCAUCAACUCAGCGUCAAGCAUAUGUGAGGGGCCAGAGUACAUUCAUCUUGUACUAGACUCAUACGUUGAAAUGUCUUUAAAGGAAGGUGAACGGUUGCGGCGCGGAGACGAAGCAACGGGUAUUGCAAUUUUUGACAUGAGCAGAGACACACCAAUCCCACAACAACUUAAUAAAUUCUGGGCAUCCGUCGAAAAUAAGACUAAUCUUCAACUAUUGGUAAGGGAUAUAGUGUAAAAUCACGUCUGUGCCAACCCUAUCAUGGCAAGUCCAGUUGUCUCUGACAAUGAAGCUCUUCCAGCAAUUAAGUUUGGUAAUGAAGUCAUUCCUGAACUGUUAAACUGGAUUGAGAAGGCCGAUGCAAGGGUAAUGGCUCAUGUUGAGUGGGCUGCUCGUAUCAAACAGUGUUAAAGAGUUGUUGUGAUGUCCAACGACACCGACAGCUUUGCAUUAUUGCUUCACUUCACUCAAUAUUUUCAGAAACUCGAUAUGAAAAAUAUAUGGCAGCAGUAUGGUACUGGUGAGAAGCGUCGAAUUCUUUAGUUGCAUCAGGCAAUUUCUCGGCUUGGGACACCGCUGGCAAAGACAAUGAUACAGGCUCACAUAUUGACAGGCGACGACUGCAUGAGUAAAGUAGGAACCAAGCAUACAGCUGUGACCUCUGAUCCGGUACAGUUUUUAAUGAAUUUUGGACAGAUACCUUGUCAGAGCAGGAUGAAGCAUGAGCAAAAAAGUAUCUGGUACGCGUCUAGGCAGGGGCCAGUUCGACGACAACUGCGGAAACAUUUGACCAUCUCCGACUAGAGAACUAUACCAGUGCUAUUGCUUGACUUGAUUGCCUACCUCAUACAAGCAGUGUAAUCAAAGGACAUAUUCGUAGAGGAGCCUUUCUAAUACAUAGGCCAUGUAAACUGCUUAUAAAUAUUGAUGUUCCCGAGACACGGCUGGCACCAGUUAUACAUGGUGGAUUGGAGGAGCAUCUUGGCAUGCUUUUGCCCACAAAGUGCCUUUACAACGGAGCUUGCUGAUAUUGUGCAAGUAUACAUGAAAUUGCGAUAGUAGGUUGCUGUGUUGCUGGGGUGCUUUGCAUCACAUUUUGUCAUGUCAAAGUGGACAUUUCACCUUGUGGAAACCUGACUUAAAAUGACUAACUUUGGAACUGUAUGUAAUCUAUGUAAAACAAAGUAUUUUUAAACCACUUACAAUGAGAAUGAUUUCAUGUUGAUAAGUUGUGUGCGUUUUUGCUAUAAUGCCAUAUGGAAUAAGGUGUAAGCCCGUUAGCCUGUCCCUAGGAAUGGGGAUGACUCAGUGAUAACCCAAACAACACAUGACAUUGGCUCAAAGUCUUCCCGACAUCAAACAGAUGUUACGUCGGUUUGACUUUAUGCCAACGUUGAACAAAUAUCACGGGUUUGCUUGGUAAGAUGUUUGUUCGAUUAUCACAUUGUCAUACCAUCUGCAUUUGGGUUUAAGUCCCGUUCACUGUAGUAUUUUUCCAUCAAAUGUGAAAAUUUUCAAAUUACUAGUCACUUGUCUGUAAGUACAACAUGCAUAAAUUAUCUAAAUGUGCCAAUAUUACGUAAAACGUGCACAACAAUAUUCUAAUUGAAUUAAUUACGUCAAAAUGUGUCACAUUAAAGUUUAUACACUGGCUUUUACUGCCCAAGGUCAACUCAAGGUCGUUGAUGUAUCAUAUGCCCUCGUACUUGACCUUUCCGGAUCAAUUACCCUCCAUAUUUAACAAGACCUCACAUAACUGAGUUCUUAACAAAUAAUACAUAAUUUAGAGGUAAAACAUUUGAUUUUACUCCAAAAGGCAAUCUUUUUUUUUUCAACAUGGCCGUCGGCGGCCAUAUUGGAUUUUGAUAUUUUGAGGCUCCUGGCAGUGUGACGGACAAGAACCUCGGUGAUUUAUCAUUUAUAAGGACUAAUUAACUCACAUCAAAUGUAAAAUCCCUCAACCCAAUUUUGCAAACGGGACUUAAGACCUAGUCCUGCACUAAUUAUACCGCAUCCACGAAGCUGAUGCAUGUACAUAUGCGAAAGUGGUGACAUUUAUCUGCGACAUUAGAUUGCACUUAACACAUUGUCAAAGCUUAUCGUUUUAACUUAACAAAUUGUCAAAUAUCAAGGUAGCAAUAAAAAAAUGACAACACAUAUAUCCCAAAUGGUUAUCCUGUUAUUAAGAUUGUCCAGCAUAAAUACAAGACAUGCUGUCUCAAAAGUCCGGAAAGGACUUGGCUGAUAAUUGCAAUGUAUUGCGGUUCAAUAGUCUGUGAUGAACAAUUGCAAACAUUAAAUAUUGCAGCCCAGAUCUUUUGUUGUCGAAUUGAAACAUGUUAUUGAUUCAUUUAAUAAAAUUCGUAGUCAAAAGCAA